AUGACUUCAGUCUCUUUCUUAACUAAUUCUGUCACUGUAAAAUCCUACAGUCAUUCUUCCACACAUAAAGGAAAAUAAGCUCACUAGGUGGACCUAGAUGCUUUCAGUUUUAACUAUUAACCAAUGGUGAAAAAGGCAGAAUGCCUAAGUUAUGCCUAUGUGGCCAAUAGGGUAGCUGUGUGUGUCCCACAUGACUCCCUUCCCCUGUCUUUCACAUGGGUUGCAAUUUAGUUCAAUUCAGAACUGCAGAUAGUACAGCUUUCACAGAAGCGAUGGGAUGUCUGAGCACAAGUGGCUGACUUGGGAGUGACUUUAUGAAGGACUUUUCUGCCUUCCUUAGGCAUAAAACAACUGGAAUUCUGCACCUGCAUCAGAAAAGAACCAGACUGAUUCUGCCACUCAGUAGCAAGAAAUUCACACAGCUAAACGGUUUGAAAUUGAAUCAUAAAUUUGCCAACCAGCAAACAAGAAUGACUGAAGUCACUUUGACCCUUGCCUGUUACACUGAAGCUGCCGAAAUGUGAGAUUUCCAAGGUUCGGCAUAGAAAUGCAUCUACUGUGCUGAAAAUUUGAAAAUGACUCAGGUUUAUCCACUAUAUCAUCUACCUGUCUUCAUAAGAAUAUCAUCAUGAAGAAUUGGAAAAAAAUUGUUUCUUCUUUUUAGCCCAAGGAAGAAAAAGAGAAAGAAGAGAAAAGAUGAAAUGGGAAUGAAGGAAGAGUUCCUAUAUCACAUGAUGCAGUCCUAAAAUAGGAGUUUUAAUCUAUCAACAACUUUUUAUUAAGUACUUAAAUGAACAGAAAUCUAUAAUAAUUGAGAAAUUGAUAUAGGUAAUUUAAAAUAUAUGUGCUUUUUAUUUAUGCAUUUAAAAACAGCAUGCUUUUUCUGGAACGAAUGAUAUCAAAUGUUUUUUUUUUCUUUUUAAUCAGAACUGUUUCUUGGCAACCAUUCAACAUUCUCAAGGGUAAGAAAAUAUAUUUGUGGUGGAAACAUCCACAAACAACAGUGUACAAAUCAGCCUUGCUUUCCAAGGCCCUGAGUAUGGAGCUUAAGGCUUUUUAAAUUUUAAUUUAAUUUUUUAAUUUAAUUUAAUUUAAUUACAUUUAUGUUGACAUCAACGCUCUGUAGCAAGGGCUCCAAACCCUGGGUCCGUGAACUUGAUUUUUUUUUAAGUAUUUUGAUAACUGUAUUUAGCUUCCUUUGUAAUCAUAAUUAUCUUAUUUUAAAAACAUUAAUCUGAAAAAGGAUCCAUAAAUCUCACCAGGCACCAAAAAGGUUGAAAAUCACUUAUUUAUUUAUUUAAUUUUUAAACCCUUACCUUCCAUCUUAGACUCAAUACUGGGUACUGGUUCCAAGGCAGAAGAAUGGUAAGGGCUUGGCAAUGGGGGUUAAGUGACUUACCCAGGGUCACACAGCUAGGGAGUGUCUGAGGCCAGAUUUAAACCUAGGACCUCCCGUCUCUAGGUCUGGCUCUCAAUCCACUGAGCCAACCAGCUGCCCCUGAAAAAUGCCUUCUUUAAAGGGAAAAAAAUACCCUGCUAGAGUCAACCAUUAAUAUAAAACAUAAAGAAGCUAAAUUAAAUAAUUGGAGGGAGUGGGUAAUUCAAUUGAUUUAAACAACCUGUAUUCAAAAUCAUUAUUAUCAUUAUUGUUUUCAAUAACAAUCUAGCAAAAGAUAAGAAAACAAGUAACUUCUCUAAAUGUAGGCCAGUUUUGUUUAUGGAUUUUACACAAAGUAUUCUUGUUUUAUGUAACUAAAAAUAAUUUGUAAACUCUAACCAGAAAACAAUAUAUUUCCUAAGUAGCAAAUGUGGGGUAUCAAAAAGUCCCAAGAAUACAAAGAAUGGCUGAAUAAUCAGAAGUUUUUGAACAAACACCCCAAAAUUUUAUAGUAUUUAUACUCACUUCAUUCACUCAUUAAAAAUGUUUUUGACUCAGUUCUAAAUUCAUGGCUUAUGUAUAUGCUAGAAAUAUGUAAUCUGACUAUAGUUAAAAAUGUCACCAAAAACUGUUCUUUUUAUAAAAUAUGGCAACAACAUAAUAUCAAUAAUAAUUCUUAUAAAUGGAACAUAUUUCAGGGAGACAGUUUAAGUCCAUCCUGUUUUUUUCUUAGCAUUAGGCCAAUUAUCAUUUUUUUCUUAAAAGAAGCAAGUAUGGCUUUUAAUUAAAAAAGGAAAUAUUACCAAAAUUAUUGGUUACUUCAUAUAUAUAGAAGGCACCAAAUCAUGUGGCUCUAUUGGGGAGAAACACAUUAAUUGGUUCUUUAAUCUUAUUUUUUUAACUUUCUCAAGUUGUACAAAAAUAGCAUUUGGAAUAUGUCCUAACAAAAAUUAAUGUAUUGUCAUAAAUGUAAUAAUAUUACUUUUAGUUAUGAACUUAUGUGUAUUUAUCAUAUUGUUUAUUACUAAUAAUAUAUUAAUUAAUUAGUAAGAAACAGGCCCACCAAUGUAAGGUAAUUAUAGAGAAGUUAACAUUUUCUCUCCAAAAAGGAAAAUAGAUCUUGAUAAUCAUCCUUUGAGCACAUGACAAAGACCUCAAAAGCUUUAGGUACUAACAAAACCUGAUAACAGGUAAAAAGAAUUGGAUUUUUUUCAACUAUAACUGUAAGUUAUUUACCUCCAAUUUAAAAGGUCAUAUAAGAUGGCUCCAAACCAAGAAUGGAAUCAAAAUGACCUUGAUGGGCAAUAGUUACAUGAAUUCAAUAAUAUUUUGACAAAGAAUCAUCAAACAAAUAGCUGAAUCAUGUUUAUCUUUGUACAUAAAGGGAUUUACAGUGACAAUUGAAGGCCAGUUUAUGACUACCACAAACUACAGAAGAGAAAUUAUUCAUGUACCUAGAUCUUGUAAUCAACAAUACAUGGAGAUUGUGACAUCAUUUCAUACUAAAAAUUUAUCACCUGCCAAAUAUCUAAUAUAAUAUGAACUGGUGACGAGUAUUACACAUAAGCAUAAUGUCUUUUCAUGGACCCGCAAAUGGUAAAUCCUUAUUCUACAGAGACCUUGAAAGCUCAAACUAAACCAAUAAUCUCUAUUGAAACCAAGCCAUUAUUGCUUACUGAAAUGAAGAGCAUAAAUUCCCGGACAUAACAUUGAUGAUUUAUUCUAUAAUGUCAUAAGAACAGUGUUCAUAAUAAAUGUCCUCACAUCUAAUAAUACUCGUGACAUGUAUGUGACAGGAAAUGAAAAGCUCUUUAAAAAUAUGAAACAUAACAGAGUAGAUCAAAAUUGUGUGGAGGUAAAACAAAGUACAGAUGGUACCUCUUGUCCUGAUAUCAUAAUUAUACAAAAGAUUAUUUCUGCAAGCCUAAAAAGGCAUAAUAUAUUACUAAUUUAAAACUACAAUAAGAUUUUUUUAAUUCAUCUGUGUAAGAGUUCCUAAAACAUUAAAUAUAAAAGAAUGAUAUGAUAGUGACUUGUCUCAGGAGGACCUUAUCUGUCUGAAUCUUACCAAAAAAGUUGAGAAUGAGAUGAUAAUAAUAGUGGACAUUCAUAUUACAUUUUAAAUUUUACAAAGCACUUUCCAUAUAUUAUCUCAUUUGAUCCCUACACUAAUCCUAUGAAAAUAUAGUUCAUUUUAAAAUACUUUAUAGGAAAUAAUAUUCCACAUAUUACAGCAUAUAGAGGAAUGGCAAAUUAUUCUCUAGAAAAGCAUAUGAAAUUCUACUACUGAUGUAAUAUAUGAUAUUUCUUUCUUUUCAGAUAAAACUCAUACGAUACAAAGUUGAAACAGACCUUUGAGGUCUUCUAGUCCAUCUCACUUUUUAUGAUGAAAAAAUGUGGGGUUUAUAGACAUUUAAGUGACUUGGCAAUAUUACAUAGAAACACUAGUAGCAGGGACAGGAUUUGAACACUUUGGGUUUCCAAUCUAUUGUGGUUUCCACUAAAUUGAUAGUCACUAUCUUAGAACUUCCAAAGAGUAUCCUUGUGCCAAUAACUGGGAAUGUUAAUGAAAGAAUGCUUGUUUGAGUUAAGCAUUUAAUUUAAAGAAAUCUUAGAUUGAUCCCUUCCAACUAGAGGAUAUAAUGAGUUAUCUAUGGGAAGUCCUUAUCAUAUCCAAUGAAAACCAUCUUGUUGGCAUUUCCUCUGGCUCUUUUAACUGAAGGAAGUUGAGAGAUUCACCCAGAUGGUUGCCAUAAUAAUGCUUAGCUAUUUUUACACCAUAUAAUACAUACACACAUACAAUAAUUACACCAUAAAAACCUUUACAAUUGCCAAUAAAUUCUGAAUGGAAACAAUACAACUUAGAUGAAAGAUCCUUGAAUUGCUCAUUUUCAUUUUGGGAGCAAAUAGAUGAUGUUCAUUUCCUUCCAUGUGAUGCUAAAAGCAAAGUGUAUAAAAAUAUGGUAUCCAUGCAUUUUAAUUUAUAGGUGAUGAAAAAUAUACCAUGAGAUUAUCAGAAUUACCAAGUUUACUCUAAAUCUUACAUUGUCCUGGCUAUUGUUAGCAUGUUUUGAUUAUUUUAGGGAGGUGGAUGUUUUUCUUUCCUUUGAGGCAUUAAUGAUGAUGACUAUAAAACCACUAAUAAAUAGCAUUUAGGAAUGACUUUAAGCUUUGCAAAAUCCAUCACAAAUAUUUCAUUUUAUCUUCAUACACAAUAAACCUAGGAAGCAAGUGCUAUUAUUAUCCCAUUUUGACAGAUGAGGAAACUGAGAUAGACUAGUUAAAGUGAUUUCCCAGUCACAAAACUACUAAAUGUAGGAGAUAGGCUUUGAACUAAGGUCAUCUUGAAUCCAAAUCUAUUGCUCUCUCUAUCCACUGUACCACUAGUUUCAUCAGUUUGUAUUCAGAUUGGUUUGUUAUUAGCUAUAACAUUUAAAGUGUUGAGGAAAUCAGAAAUUAAGGAAGAAUUUGAAUCCAGAUGAGAUGAUAAUAAUAGUCUACUCCAGAAACAGGGCUCUUUUUAAUAUAUUACACUGCCUGGAAAAUUCUGUUCAUUUUAAUUCAACUAACAUUUGUUAAGUACCUACUAUGUGCCAGGCAUUGUGAUAGUUCCUGGGGAUUCAAAAAGAAUACCUGCCUUAAGGAUUGUACAUUUACCUGGGAACUGAUAAAAGAGAAACAACAUGUACACAAAUAAAGAUAAUACAAUGUGAUUUCAGGAGAGGGGUGCCUGGAAGAAUCAGUUAAAUUUUCUUAUAAGGUUUGGCAUAUAAGAUUAUAUUUCCCUGAUUAUUUUUUGUGGCAAAGUUAAAAGAAAAAAAUGAUAAAGGAAGAAAGGUGACCAAUAGCAAAGGUAUUUGAAAAUAAUGAGUGUAACUCAUUUCAGUUUCUUAGAUUAGAAAAUUUUAAUUUCAGUAAAAGCAAAAAUAACAAAUUGAAAUCCAUUCACAGCUGUAUUAUAGCCAAUGUACCCUUAAAUCAGCCAAUUCAAAGUACAGAAAAGUCUUAUAUUGGUGGCAAAGUAUUUGUUUAUUUGUUUAUUCAACCAGAUCAACAACCAAAUCUUCAAUUUAGGUCACACCAUCACAAAGAGGAAGGGAUUGGAGACUGACAUUGAGAUGCUCUAUUUCACACACUUGCCCUCUGGAAGGACUGGCAAAGGCAGUCACUUAAAUUAAGUACAGGUCAUCAGGCAAGAUAGCUCAUCUAUUCCUGAGAAAGACAACUUCCAUAGCCCAAAUCCCCAUGGCCUUUACAGAGAUACAAUGUACUACUUCCUCCUGUACCUCUGUCAGUUCAUGUUAGACUCUCACUUUUUUUUUAAAGUGAUAUUUCAUGUAUUCUGUAACUCUUGCUCAAAGCAAGGAGAGUGCUUUGGUUUAUUUAUGACCUGCUAACAUUAAGCAAAACAAAAUGUGUUCCCAUAAGCCUAAGAUGAGAAAUAAAACUGAAAAGAAUUCUGGCAUUUUUAGCAAAUUAAGUGAAGGGUAGCCUUAAGGGGGGGGGGGGGAAGAAAAGUUAAGGAAUUUUUUUUAAAAAGAAGAAAUGUAUGAAUGAUCCUUGGAAAAUGGUUAGGGCUAGGGGGCAACUAAGUGGCUUAGUGGAUUGAGAGCCAGAUCCAAAGAUGAGAGGUCUUGGAUUCAAAUCAGAUACUUCAUAGCUGCAUGAUUCUGUCCAAAUCACUUAACUCCCACUGCUUGUCCUUUACAUCUCUUCUACCUUGGAAGCAAUAUAUAGCAUUUAUUCUAAGAUGAAAGGUAAGGGUUUGGGAUUUUUUAAUAGUUGCCCUGAUUCCAGUAUACUUGUUCAUGCUACAUUUAGUAUACUAUCCUUACUGUUUUUAAUUCAUAGAAUUAUAAAUAGUGGAAUAGUGAAUUAUUAGUUUUGCUUUUUCUUUUAAGAUUCUGAAAUGGUUUGGAGACCUCUUUGAGGCGGGUUCUCCCUCCAGGUGAUUCUCACCCAUGACUUCUUAACAAGUGUGAUUUUUAUCUGUAUCCUUUAAUAAAUGUUCUAUAUCCACCCAAUCUGUUGGGAUGUAGCUUAAAUCAUGAGAUAUUCCUCUAGGUUUUUUUUUAACAUUACAUGGAUACCAGUGAAAUAAUUGUAUUGUCCCUUUGUUAGGUCUUGCUCUAUCUCCUUUACUUGAAGACAUCAUUUUUUUGUAUAUUAAAAUCAACCAACAAAUGAUAUUAAGUACUUACUUUAUAUUACAUAUUAUGUUAGGUGCUAAGGACACAAAUAGAAGAAUGAAACAGUCUCAUUGCCUUCAUCUCUGGGAAAAUGUCUUUAUGUGAAUAGUUUAUUUGAAAAAUGGGAAGACAUUUUUGAAUAAAGAAAAUGGAUUUUCAGUUAGAGCUGAAUUUUAGCAUUUUAAAAAUUGAUGUUUGUCAAUUAGAAUAUCUACAGAAUUUCCCUAUCUUCUGGGACAAAGUGUGAAAAAUAAAGUCUUGCAAGAGAAAGUCCAUCAGCCAAAAAUAAUUUAUUAAAGAUGAACUAUAAGCCAGGAAGUGUGCUAAGUGCUGGACAAACUCAAAAAAGCAAAAAACAGUUCCUGUCCCCAAGGGCCUCACAAUAUAAUUGAAGAGACUGCAAGCAAAGAAGUACACAUUCAGACAACUUAGGUACAGAGCAAAUAGGAAAUUAUUAACUAAAGUAUUUGAAUUAAGAGGGGUUGAGAUAGAUUUCCUGAGGAGGAUGGAACUUUAGAUGGUGCCUAAAGGAAGCCAAGGAAGUCAGAAGGUGGGGAGGAGGAGGGAGAACUUUCAAAUCAUGGGGAACAGCCAGAGAAAAUGCUGGGAAGCCAGGAUGGAGUGUUUUGUAGAACAUCAAAGAGGAGAGAGUCACUGGAUUAAAGAAUAUCUGUCUAGUGGGACAAAAAUCAGGUAGGAGAAGAGCCAAAAUGUGCUUCCAUAACCAGGUUAUGAAGUACUUUUAAUACCAGAAGAUAUUAUAUUUAAUCCCAGAGGUGACAGAGCCAUUAGAGAUUAUUGAGUAUUAGGGUGACAUGGUCAGAAAGUGACCUAGCCAAGCAGGAUAAGAGAAUGUCGAUAUAUAUGUAGAGAAAAAAACUACAGUAAUUUCUCAAUGCUUCAAAAGAAGUGUCAACCUAUAUUGACAAGUUUCUCUACCUGAUAGUUCCCAAUAUCAAUGAAAUUACAAUCCAGAAAUUACCAGUCCAUGAAUAAUCCAGAAUCCUAUCCUCUAAGCCUAUGUUAAAUUAAAAUGCAAGUGUAGAAAUACAAACAUUCCACAUUAUAAAUCAUAUGGAAGCAUAAAAUUAUAGCCAGAUAGGACCAAUGAGGUCAUCUAAUGCUACUGCUUCUGGAAACUUAGACCCAUAGAGAUUCAGUGACUUGCCCAAGAACACACUAGUAGCAAGUGGAAAACAGCCCUCCUACACCAAAUUCAGCACUCUUUGCAUUGUACCAAAAUGCCUCCAAUUAAUAAUUAACUUCUUCCCUAUCUAAGGUUUGAGUACUGUGCCCCUUUUAUUUAUAACAUUUGCAAUUACAAGGAUUUCUAAAUACCUGAAGAUGAAAUCUAUAACUGUGACUCUCCUGAUUUUAAAGGUAUGAGACACCUGGGUUCAAAUCCCACCUGAGACACUAACUAUAUGACUCAAGGGAAGUCAAUCAACCUCUCCAUCCCUCAGUUUCUUCCCCUUUAAAAUGAGGAUAAUUAAACCUGCAGAGUGAUUUUUUAAAAGCCUAAGCCCACAAAUCACAUACCCAUACAUACAUGUGAUAAGUAAUGUCAUAUGUUUUGCUUUUGCAUUUCUACUCCCAUAGUUCUUUCUCUCAAUGUGGAUAGCAUUCUUUCUCAUAAGUCCAUAGAAAAAUAUUUAAAAAUAAAAAUUUUAAACAUAAAAAUAAAAAACCUGCAGGGGCUGCUUCAUUGGAUCAUUGAUUAUGAAGUUCUAAUUGGGAGAGCUCUAGAAGCAAUAAAAUAUCAUAUAAGUGUUAGCCAUUACUAUUAUUAUUAGCAUUGUUCACAGAAAUAAGAAAUGCUUUCUAGUUUAAUGUUUUCAUUUUAUUUGCAUAUGUCCCUCAUAAUUUCCUGCUGCUUUAAGUGACAGAUACACUUACACAUCUGUGACAGACCACUUAUAACAUAAAACUCCCAAAUCUAUGAGAUCACUGACACACUUGAAUGGGCAUAGGAGAAAAUGAAAAAAUACUCACUGUAUAUAAUUGCAACUGACUUAUCAUAUAAGCUUAAUUAAAUAAAUCUUAUAUAUAGCAAAUCAUUAAUUUGGGGGCUCUGAUUAUGUCAAUAUUAGUAAAUAUAAGGAGAUGCUCAGAUGUGAUUGACAGUGGUGAUUUAUUUACCUAAUGUCAUAGUAGCCAACUCAGAAAGAAGAGCUAGACCUUCAGCUCUAUCUCCUUAUGUAACUAAAUGGAUCAGCAGGACCAUAUUGAGAAGAAUUUAAUAAAAAAUCAAUGCAGAAAAGUUUGCUGAUGAAAGAAUUCUCAGCUGUGACUCUUUGGAGAAUGUUAGUCUAAGAAAAAUGUUUGUUUGCUUAUAAAAAUGAAGAAAACAUAUUUUAAAAUCUUAAAUGAUCAUUAAAAAAAUUAUCCCCCAAUGUUUAUUUCCUAGAAGAUCAUGAAGGGGGGGGGGGGCGGUAAUCAUUGCUCUAGAUAAAAUUUAAAUUCCUGUAACAUACUUUGAAGGCAACCAGAAUUGGGUUACAGUUUUUCUAAGUGCCCCCCAAAUUCAUUAUUGAUAAACAUUUGUCUAGCUAGCAAGUAUGGUCACAUUGUAAUAACUAGACACUUGAGUUGAACUGAACAUAGUCACCUUAAAAUAAUAUUCCCCAAAGAUUGUGGGUUAUUCUGACCCAGGAGAAAAUAUAAUUCUUCUAGAAGUUAGCAAGUUAUCAUUUAAAUUCAUGGGACCAUGAUUCUCAGUGUUGAUUUUGUUAUAUCCCAAAGCACCUCUUAACAUUUCAGUAAAUGUGGGGAAACUAUUUAAAAAGAAACAACAAGAAUGUUAUAAAAGAAAUGCACUUUAUAUUUGAAAGAGAAUAUUUAGAAAGAUAGGAUUUGUAAGGGGUCAAACCCCAAAAGAUUGUCAAUAUCAUAUAAAUGAAGGGAUUUGGAACUUAUAUGGCUAGUCUUGUCCUUUCUUUGUAAUAAUGUAAUUUUUAUUUGAGCCUUAAGAUGAAGCCCUUUGUCAUUUAAUUUACUAAUCCUGUAUAUAUGCCAGCAAAAUAACAUGGAUUGGUAGCAAGAGUUGGACUUAAAGUCAGUAAGAACUCAGUUUGAUGCCUAGAGACGGGAGGUCCUAGGUUCAAAUCUGACCUCAGACACUUCCCAGCUGUGUGACCCUGGGCAAGUCACUUGACCCCCAUUGCCUAGCCCUUACCACUCUUCUGCCUUGGAGCCAAUACACAGUAUUGACUCCAAGACGGAAGGUAAGGGUUUAAAAAAAAAAAAAGAACUCAGUUUGCAUUCCACCUCUGAUAUUCACAAGCUAUGUGACCAUAGGUAAAUCUCUUAAUCUCCUUGUGCGCCAAGUAGUUUUCUAAGGCUUUAAAUUAUAGGCUAGUUGUAAUCUGCCUGUAUCAAAAAAUCAGAGGCCUUUGAGGAAUUGAUGCAUUUGAGUCAGUAAUUCAUAUGAUAAGACUUUAACAGAGACAUUUAUUUGGAAGAUCUAAAUUUUACACACUAGAUCUAAAAUUACACACUCUAAAAAUACCUAAAGAUAAAAAUGUACCUCCUGAAAAUUAGAAGCCAAUUCAUAGGAGCUGAAAUUGGGACAUGGGAGAAGGGGAUUCCACACAGAUUAGAAAUUUCCUAUGUGAUAGUAGCUGUCAUUUAUAUUGCUCUUUCUCCAAAAUCCUUACCUCUAUUUACUUCAUCUAUAAAAUGAGAUGACAUCACCUACUUCCCAGUGUUUUUGUAAGACUCAAAUGAGAUGAUUAUAAAGUUCUUUGAAAACCUUAAAUCAUCAUAUAAAAUGCUAGUUAUUAUCCAUUAUAACUAGGUAGUGAUAAUUAUUAUUGUGCUUUAUUUUACAAAUGAGGAAACUGAGUCUUAAAGAGGUUAAAUGACUUACCCAUAGUCCUAUAACCUUAAGUACCAGGGAUUGGAUUUGAACCCAGGACUUCCUCAGCCCCAAAUUUAGGACUUUCUUCAUUAUAGUUCUCGGCUUCUCAUAGUUCAGAUUUAUAUAGGACUCGUUUUAGGAAACUCUAACCUUUAUGAUAAUUCUAUAACUUUAUUAAUAUUUCUAUAGUACUUUAUAUUACUAUACUAUGUUAUAUAGUUAUAUAAUACUAAUACUUACUUAUAUAUCUAUAUAUAUAUAUCUAUAGUACUUUGAUUUUUACAAAGUAUUUUCCUGGAAGCACUUUAAAAAUAUCCUAUCUUUUGAUCCUCAUAACAACUCUAGACCAUAGGUGUUAUUGUUAUUCCCAUUUUACUGAUGAAGAAACUGAGGCAAGCAGAGGCAAUGUGACUUUCCCAGGGUCAUGCAACUAUUAGGUGUCUAAAGCAGGAUUGGAAUUUAGAUCUUACUGACUUGGCCCAGCCCUCUAUUCUUGAUGCCCCCUAUUCAUAUUUUCUUAUUUUAUACCUGAUAAAAUUUGACCACCCUCAGCGAGCUAUGAAGUAGCAGAGUCAGGACUUGAACCAAAAACUUUUGACUACAAUUUCAGAGUCCUUUCUACUGAACCUUAGCAUACUGCCUGACAAAGAGUAUGUCCUUAAUAAAUGUAUGUUGAUGAUUGUUGAUGACUAUACCAUAAUUUUUAAUCUAUCUUGUAAACAUAGCUAUUUACAAAUUAGGAGAUAUGUGUUUUGAUGAGACCGUAUUUGAUGACAAAUACUCAGCAUCAUUAAGAUUGAGGUCAUUGACUCUAAAGUUAAACCAAGAACUGCAAUGAUUUAUGGGUUUUUUUUUUGUUUGAUUUCAAUUUUUGUAUUUUUUAUUUCCAGAAGAAGCAGAUUUUUUUUCCUUUUAUAUGAAACAGAAAGCUACCAGCUCCUGCUUGGACCAUUCCCUCUAUACCCCUUAACGUUGCUAUGUCAUCACAACUUAAACAACAUGAAUUGAAUGGUGAAAAUUUCUGUGUUGAUUGUGUUUUUGCCCCCUUUUAGAUACCUAUGGAUGAUAAGUCAAUAGAAUUCUGUUUUUGUUGUUUUUUUUUCUUUUUCUUUCUUUUUCUUCUUCUUUUUUUUUUUUGAGGUUGCUUCAGUGAACAUUCAACGCUGUCGGUGAGUUUGGAAUUAAAAUGAAAACCAUCGACCGUUGAUUGUACCCUACAGCUAACCACCAUCAUCCUUCUUCCAUCAUCACUCUCAGGACUUCCACUACAACAGAAGACCAAACCAGGACCCUCAAGCACUUUUCCAGCCUCUUGUCUUGCCCAGCUUUAUUUUUUAAAAAGGUCACAAUCAACAUUCAUUGCUGUCGGUGGGUUUAACUGUAUGGACAAGCUCACUGAACAAUGAAUGCAACUGUGGCCCCACUUUAUUGCAGUCACAGGCAAGAGAAGCAUCAUCUAUGAAAGCCAUGCUGGAACACAGAAAUCUAAGAGGUGUUUUUUUUUUCCCUCAACAGAUCUUUUCUCAUUUGAAGACUGGCAAAUGCCUUCAGGAUAUAAAGAUUCAAUUUUUAUCAAAUGUUUGUUACAAAUGCUGUAAUGAAGUUUCCUAUAAUUAUUCAGAGUGGGAAAUCAUUCACACUCAUAGAGUUAGAAAUCUUUAAAAAUAGUGCAUAUAUGUAUACAUAUAUGUGUGUGUACAUAUAUUUAUAAAUAGUAUAGAAAUCACUGAGGUGGAGAAAAGGAAUAAAACAUGUCUUUAAAACCAACUACUAUGUCAUUGAAAAAGAAAACUAUUAUACUGGGAUAAUUAAUAAUUUAUGUCAUAUUUUAUGCCAUUUUAUACUAUUAGAAACAAAGAAUACCAGUGACUCAGUUUAACUUAGAGCAUUAUAAAAACCCUAUAAAUUUCUCUCUAUAUCCUUCCAGUCUGUAAGUGAUUUGGUUGCUUUCAUUUUGGUGAGGCUCAUACAAGGGUUGUUUUUUGUUUGUUUUGCUUUUUUUCUUCUUUCUGUGACUUGUAUAUAACUUAACAGUUAUAAGAAGGGAGACAAAAUGCAUAAAUACCAUGUUCCUUUAGAUAUUAAAACCUAACUGACACAUAACAUGAGAUUCUUUUCCCCAAAUAAAGCUAACUUGAAGAUUUAUUUCAUUAAUUGCCACUUUGUUUUGCCCUAUAGGUUCAUUUUAAUUUCUGCUGAAUUGUUAUAAUAUUCUACUAACUCAAAGGCUCACCUAUUAAAAUAAAAAGAGUAUGACAUUAUUUUCAGACAUGUACCUCAUUUAUUUAUUUACCAAUAUUUAGUAGAUGUUUAUUAUGCACACACACACACACACACACACACAAAACUGAGUUAGGUACUGGAGGAAAUAGAGGAUAGUAUAACCCUUGAGGUGCUGGACUUGAAAUAAAGAAGAUCUGAGUUUAAAUUCCGCUGCUAAAAUUUUUUACUUAUGAAUUUAAUUAAAUAUACAUGGUGUUUAUUGUGAAUUGGCACCCCCAAAAACAAAAAAUAGUUUGAUUGCUCUAAUGUUUCUGUUGAGUAUCACAAAUCAUAGAUCAAUGUUAGAUGAUCAAGUAAUCUAGCUUUAUCUCUUCAGAGAUAAAAAUCAUGAGUACAAGUUUAUUAUCUUCAUUGCCAUCAUCAAAAUAACUUAUUAAGCGUCCAAUUAUAGAGGGCAACUAGGUAGCUUAGUAUAGCAGGUUUAAAGAUGGAGAGUCCUGGAUUCAAUUUUGACCUCAAACACUUCCUAGCUUUGUGACCUUGGGCAAGUCACUCAACUCCCAUUGCCUAGCUCCUUUCAUUCUUUUGUCUUAGAAUCAAUGCACAGUAGUAAUUAUAAGAUGUAAAGUAAGGAUUUUUUUAAAGUAUAAAAUGGUGAGAUAAUAGAGUAUAUAGUGAUAGAAAAUGACAAUACCACUCAAGAGCUUGCCAUCUACAAACUACAUUCAUUCAUUCAUUUCAUUUAUUUGACUAGCACUUAGUAAGUGUCACAAUGUACAGAUUUAGGAAAUGCAGUUUAGAAGUAUAAUAAGAAGCAAGCAGAUAACUUUUAUGUGUAAAAUAUGUGAUUAAUGUAUUACAGAAUUUCAAAACAAAGUGCCAAGUGAAGUGUAAGAAAGAAUGAGAGAAAUCAAGAAAGUUUUCCCAUGAGAUCUAUCAAUGUUACUAUAUUCUAAAAGUUUAAGAUAGCAGCUUGUAGCCUACCUUAAGGAAUUGCCUCUUUUUAAAUUUAUUUAAAUGUUUUAUUUUUAAUUAUUUAUUAAAUUAAUUAAUUUUGAAUAGUUUUCCCAUGGUUACAUGAUGCAUGUUCUUUCCCUUCUCUCCCCCCACCCCCCUCCUGUUACCAACAAGCAAUUCCACUGGGUUUUACAUGUUUCAUUGAUCAAAACCUGUUUCCAUAUUGAUAUUUGCACUAGGGUGAUCAAUUAGAGUCUACAUCCCCAAUCACAUUCCCUUAGAACCAUGUGAUCAAGCAGUUGUUUUUCUUCUGUGUUUCUACUGCCACAGUUCUUUCUUUGGAUGUGAAUACUGUUCUCUCUCAUAAAUUGUCCUGGAUCAGUGCAUUGCUGCUAGUAGAGAAGUCCAUUACAUUCAAUUGUGCCACAGUGUAUCAGUCUCUGUUUACAAUGUUCUCCUGGUUCUGCUCAUUUCACUCUACAUCACUUUGUAGAGAUCAUUCUAGUUAACAUGGAAUUCCUACAGCUCAUUAUUUCUUUUAGCACAAUAGCAUUCCAUCACCAACAGAUACUACAAUUUGUUCAGCCAUUCCCCAAUUGAAGGACAUCCCCUCAUUUUCCAAUUUUUUGAAGUAAUUGCCUCUUAAUGAAAUGUCUUAACAAAAAAAAACAAUAAAAAUAAAUGUACUUGCAAUACACUAGAUUUAGAAAAGCAUUUUAUAUUUUCAUUGGUACUAUACAGUAGAGGCAGAUGAGCAGCUAAGAGAUUACCCACUGACUUAGAAAGAUGACAAGUUCAAGGAAUACAUUUCUAAAGAGGGAAUAAGUUAUACAACACUUAGGACUGUGAAUCUUGAAAUUUCUCAGACUUGUGAAUGUUAAAAAUUUCCCCAUUGGGGAAUUCUCCAUUGGAACAAUUCCCUACUGGGAACAUUCCCCAUUUGUACCGUGAGAACUCUACUUGGAUCAGAAAUGGGAGGACCUCUGCUCCACCUGCACUUAGGACUGCUUUAGGGGAGAAAACUCCCUGCUAAACAAUGAAAAAUACUUACACCCAUACUUAAGCCAUGCCUAUUUUUAGAAUUAAUACAAUAGGGUGCUAAGUACCUAUAAAGGUCAGGCAACUUGUGAAUUUACAAGGAGCAAAGAGCUGAAAACUUAUUCAGAAGUUUUUUCUGGUUCAAACUUACUAAAAGGAUUAGUCAACUCAGCUGUGUUUUUUCUGGUUCAAACUUACUAAAGGGAUUAGUCGACUCAGCUGUGAAUUCAGAAUGGGCUGUCCUUUGGAAAACGUCUACUGUGAUUGGUAGAUGGAAGAACUUAGGGGAGGUGACAUAGGAGAAAACCCCCUAUAUAAGAAAAAGGAAUCUCUUGAGAAAGGAUCUCUUGAGAAGGAAAGCUCUUGAGAGGCAGGCUCUAAGGAGGGUCUCUUGAGAAAGAAUCUCUUGGAGGAAAUCUCUAAGGAGAUCUCUCAAGGGAGGCUGACUCUGGCUGGAACUCCCUCUGGGGAGACUCUGUCCCUCUGAAUCCUUGCUUGGACAAAUCUUAUGGUGAGUGAUUAACGACUGACUGGUUUCUCUCUUAAGGCUUAGGCCUGGGUUGGCCAGGGCUGCCCUGGGCCAGCCUAUUCUUUUCUCAUUAUUUCCUUUUUCUCUCUUUCUCUCUUUCUUUAAUUCCUCAUUGUAUUAUUAAUUAAAAUCUCUAUAAAACCCAGUUGACUUGGGUAUAUUCAUAAUUGGGAAUAUUUCCCUGGUGACCACCUUAUAUUUGAUUUGAUACAAGACAAGACACUGUAGUGAAACAUAUUUUCUGUGGUCACAAUUUACUCACCCACUCUUAUAUCUAUUACAGUUUAUGUCUCCCACUAUUUUAACUCUUACAGUUUGUGACAUCCCCUCUUUUAAAUGCCACAGGACUAAAUCUGUUUUUAUGGAAAGGUGAAGCAUACAUCAAAUGCGACCUGUGUAUGAGCAUUGCAUACUUGGCCAUAGUAACAAAGGGAAUCGAUAUCCCUCACUGGAUCAAGUCCUUGAAGGCUGAAAUACCAGACAGUUAAUACUUUGGAAGGUGACUUAUUUUACCAAAGGUGGGGAGGGAAACUAUGAAGAUAAUAUGGUUUGAGGUCUUCCAGUUUUCAUUUGAGAGAUUUAUUUCAUAUCAUAUAAAACUUGAUUUGGUUCAUAAUGUAAUCAUAUCAAGGGUGAAGUAUUUUAUAAAGAUAUAUUAAUUAACCAUAUCUUGUUUUGUUAUAUAAUCUAUUGAAAUUCUCCGGUCUUCAUUAAAGCUUCAGUAAGGCGCAGUUUACUUGGAUUAUUAGUUGUAUCUAACACUGGAAAUUGUUUAUUUCUUCUGAAGAAAAUCCCAAUAAUCAGUCAUAGUUUCAUAACAUUUUUAUUAUCUAUGUCCAUCUAACCACCAGCAUUGUUUCUGAAUAGGGCAUACCAACCACUCCCCUAGGGCCUCAACAACCAUACUAAUAUAUUUCUAGACAAAGCACGAUUCCCUGGUUACUAUAUCUCUAUGUAUCCUGCUUCCUUUAUUAGAAUUUUAUAGGUGAAGGUAUGUCUUUGUUUUUUGUUGUUGCUAUUAUUACCAUUAGUUGUAAUAGCACCCUCAGCAUUUAAGAUAAUUCUUAUUACAUAAUAAGAGCCUAAAUAAAUGUCAUUUUAUUCAUUGAUUAAUUCACUCCCUUCCUCCUCAUGCUUUUAGUACAUAGUUAUAGUACAAUGCAAAAUUACCACUAAUCCAAUCCCUUCUCAUUAUUGCUAGAUUUACCCUAGAAUAAAUGCUGCUGAAUUUUUCUACUGAGGGACCUUCUUUGACCCCUAGGUUAAUUUCCUUAAUUGUUUCCCCUCUCCUGCCUUCUUCUCAGUUUUUUUUUUCCCCAACCUCUGUGGAGGAUGAAUUGGAAUGGUCAAGGAUCAGCUUUGUUUUUGUUUUGUUUUGGAAAUAAAAGUUUCCAUAUCUCCGUAUCUGACCCAGUACAGAGACCACCUACCACUGUGAUCCCCUACUGGCUAGCACAGAAGCUUUGACCUGCUCUUUUUCUGACCUAAGUUGGCUCAUUGCAUCUUAGGCAGUAUGGUAGCUCUUCACUCCUGGGAGUGUGGAGAGGGGCAAAGAGAGUGGGAAAGUAUUCAUAUAUAGAUGUUGCAUUUAGUGUGGAUUCUUGAUAAGCUUUAGCUCUAUUGCAGCAAAGAACUCCUCUGCUCAAGCAAUCCACUAUCCUUAACUUUUCUAAUAUCAAAAAUUACAGGUAUGGGUCAUCAUAUGUAGCCUAAGAGAAAAAUGUUGGGAGACCAAUUACAUGCAGUAUAAGUAAGAAGUAAUAAGGACCUAAGAGGGUGUUAGUUGUGGAAGGAAGGAAGAGGAGAUGUAUAUAGACUAUUGUGGAGGUAAAAAUGACAAGUUUUGACAACUGACUGGAUGUUUAGGGUGAAUGAGAGUGAUGAAUCAAGGUUGACAGUGAGGUUGCAAAUACAGAUGACUGACAGGAUGGUAACACAUUUGAUUGGAAUAAGCAUGUAGAUUGAGUUGGGGGAAAAGAUAAAGAAUUUUAUUUCAGGUGUGUUGUCUCAGUAUUUAUUUAUUUUCUUGAAAACCCUUAUCUUUCAUUUUAGAACCAAUACAAUGUAGUGUUCCAAGGCAGAAAAAUGGUAAAGGACAGCCAAUGAGAGUUAAGUGACUUGUCCAGGGUCACACAGCUAGUAAGUAUCUGAGGCCAGAUUUGAACCUAAGAUCUCCCAUUUCUCGAGCCACCUAGCUACACCAAGAUAAUAAUAUAUAUAUUCUCUCUCUCUCUCUCACACACACACACACACACACACACAUCCAAGAGGCAUCUGCAUAAGAUUGAGAGGGAGCUUACCAAAUAAGAAGAGUAGAGUAGGAAGAAGAGAAUACAAGACAGAAUCCUGGAGUCCAUUCAUGGUGUGCUGUCAAUUAGUCAAUAAAUAUGUAAUAAGCACCACUAUGUGGUGCCAGGAACUAUAUUAAGUUCCAGAUACUGUAUUUAACUCUUGGGAAUAUAAAGAAAGGUAAAAACAAACAAAAAAAUUCCUGCUUUGAAGGAGUUCGCAAUCUAAUGAGGGAUAUGGAUGCCUAAAGAACUAUGUACAAACAAGCUAUAGACAAGAUCAGUUGGAAAUAAUCAACAGAGGUAAGGCACUAGAAUUAAGGAGGAAUAGGAAAAACUUCUUGAAGAAAAUAAGAUGUUAGAUGAUACUUGAAAACUUGGGAAGUCCAGUCACAGAGAAGAGUAAGGAAUAUCAAUAUGUAUGAGGAAUUCCCUAGUAUGAGGACAGGAAUUCAGAAGGAAAAAAACACUGGGAGCCAAGCACUGAACUCACCCAGAUAAAAAAGGAGAGCAUCCUGGAGGGUUAUAGAUAGCAAUUACAAGAAUUUUUAUUGGGUGGUAGUGGACUUCAAAGAAACAGAAGUAGGGGUAGCCAGGGAGUCUCUAAUCAGGAGGGAGCUAGGUCUGAGUGCAAGCCAGAAAAUGGAAGGCAUAGAAAAGGAAACUCUUUAAGAUAAAAAAGAUAGUUUUUCCUUCUUUCUUUUCAUUUUACUUUCCUUUCACUUUCUUCCUUCAUUCCUUUCUUCUUUUUUCUUUCUUCCUUUCUUUUUUUUCUUCUUUUAAAAGAGAAGAAUAGGAUGAUAGGUAAUUGUAGUGGGACACUGUGGGAGUUUGGUUAAAGGGAGUGUGAAUAAGGAAUCAGAAAGGUGGAGGACAGGGAACAGGUCUAAAUAAUGACUCGAGGGAGGCCAUGGGAAGGGUAUAUUGGGGGAGGAAGCAUUUUGCUAAUUAAUGAAUAAUAAGUUUAGGUAGAUUUUCAUUGCCCAUAGAGGUUUAAUCUUAGGGUGGAGUCCUCCUAGGGUCAUAGACAGUUUAGUGGAGGGGAUAGAUGCUUUGAACUAAAUGAAUGAUGUUAUUCUCCUCCUCCCCAAGGUAGGAGAGCAGGUUAAAGAUUUGGUGGAAUAAACUUUCUCUUCUUACCUUUUAGAAAGGAAUCAAUGGAAUGAUAUUUCUUCUCUUGCAACAGGAGGCAGGAGAGCAGAUAGAUCAUCUGAAAUGCUCUGAAAGAUGUUUUGGCAAGGGAGACUGAGAAGGAACAGAAAGACAAAAGAACAAUCAAGAAAAAAAGAAUCAUUAAAAACUUGGAGAGGAAAUAAUAUUGAGGAGUAGAGCAUGGCCAACAGUGGCAAAUGCUCAGGAUGGAUCAAGAAUGAUAAAAACUAAUAAAUUGAUAUUCAGCAA